GCCAGGGCCGGUGUGCAAGGAUUUUGUUGAGCUCGCCGAGGUGCUGCAGCUUCUGUGGGGCUUCAUCCAGGCCGUUGAGCCACUUGGGGUCACCGCCCACCUGCAGGAAAUCGUUGACGUGCAGGUUGACCAGGGAUAAAUCUGCUUGGUCCAUUACCCAGGGGCCUUGGGAUCCGUACUCCUGAGUCCUGCAGGACAAAAAGGGAGAAAAAUUAAAUGAUCGGUCGUUAUCACUGGAGGCACCAAUCGCAAAGCUAAAACGCUGUGGAAUAACGUUACUGGGCACCGGUGAUUGGAAGUAGAAACCACCAUAUCACCAGGUGAUUGUUUCAAGUCAGGAAGAUUGCGUCACACCAGAAGCCAAAACAGGAGCGCUGAUCUUACACACCCCACAGGCUUUAACCCUCGGAGAAACGCAACCGGGACGGACUUUGUUGAUAUCCCCUCGAUAACGACUCCAAGUGUUGCGGCUUCA